AUGGUUAUGGACUUUUGAAAACUCAUCCGAGCCAUAAGAUGGUUUAUGGGUCUAACCCUAGGUGCAUCCUAGAAUAAAUCAUCUCAAUCUUAGUGUGCCUCUGCUCUACAAAUGACUGGUAGUCCAGUCUUCAUCUUCAUGAAGACUACCAUAAAUGCUCGAUCUUUAUCUGAAAAUAGAAAAAAAUAAUUUCUAUCUAUUUUAAAUAAUUUUUUUUAUAAUUUUACAUCAAUAUGUAAAAAUUUUAAUCAAUAUUUAGAACAUAUAAAAGAAAGAUUCAGCUG
rnacentral:lncRNA from 1 species